ACGUAGGGUGCAAGCGUUAAUCGGAAUUACUGGGCGUAAAGCGUGCGCAGGCGGUUAUGUAAGACAGAUGUGAAAUCCCCGGGCUCAACCUGGGAACUGCAUUUGUGACUGCAUAGCUAGAGUACGGUAGAGGGGGAUGGAAUUCCGCGUGUAGCAGUGAAAUGCGUAGAUAUGCGGAGGAACACCGAUGGCGAAGGCAAUCCCCUGGACCUGUACUGACGCUCAUGCACGAAAGCGUGGGGAGCAAACAGG
rnacentral:rRNA from 1 species